UAGGGAAUCUUCCACAAUGGGCGAAAGACCUGAUGGAGCAACGCCGCGUGUGUGAUGAAGGGUUUCGGGCUCGUAGAACACUGUUGUAAGAGAAGAAUGACAUUGAGAGUAACUGUUCAAUGUGUGACGGUAUCUUACCAGAAAGGAACGGCUAAAUACGUGCCAG
rnacentral:rRNA from 1 species